AUCAAUAAGCGGAGGAAAAGAAACCAACAGGGAUUGCCCUAGUAACGGCGAGUGAAGCGGCAACAGCUCAAAUUUGAAAUCUGGCUCUUUUAGAGUCCGAGUUGUAAUUUGCAGAGGGCGCUUUGGCUUUGGCAGCGGUCCAAGUUCCUUGGAACAGGACGUCACAGAGGGUGAGAAUCCCGUACGUGGUCGCUGGCUAUUGCCGUGUAAAGCCCCUUCGACGAGUCGAGUUGUUUGGGAAUGCAGCUCUAAAUGGGAGGUACAUUUCUUCUAAAGCUAAAUAUUGGCCAGAGACCGAUAGCGCACAAGUAGAGUGAUCGAAAGAUGAAAAGCACUUUGGAAAGAGAGUCAAACAGCACGUGAAAUUGUUGAAAGGGAAGCGCUUGCAGCCAGACUUGCUUACAGUUGCUCAUCCGGGUUUCUACCCGGUGCACUCUUCUGUAGGCAGGCCAGCAUCAGUUUGGGCGGUAGGAUAAAGGUCUCUGUCACGUACCUCCUUUCGGGGAGGCCUUAUAGGGGAGACGACAUACUACCAGCCUGGACUGAGGUCCGCGCAUCUGCUAGGAUGCUGGCGUAAUGGCUGUAAGCGGCCCGUCUUGAA
rnacentral:rRNA from 1 species